GUAUUUAUAUGUGUUGAUAUUGAAGAAGAAUAUAUGUUAGAUAACUAUUUAUGAUAUUAGGAUGAACACAGUCACUCAAGAUCAGUUAUUAGAGCUACAAGGCCAACCAAAGUCAAUCAGGAAUAUUUGCAUUCUAGCACAUGUUGACCAUGGUGGGUAUGCAUGAAGCUUGUUGAGUUGUUGGCCCAAUGUUUGUUUAUACGCAAUUCACAACAUUAGAUAACUCACAUGCCUAGUUACUGGUAUACAGAAGCAUAGAAUAUAACGAAGGUAACUAAGCAUUAGAGUUAUCUACAUGUGUGAAUGACGUACUCUUCUACAUAGGCCUAUAAAUUCUUAUAUUUGUUACCACUGUUCUAUAUGUGAGUUAUCCAAACUUGUGAGUUUGGUAGCAACGAUCGAUAUAAACGAUGUUGUAGUAGCUAAAUUUGUCAAUGAAGCAUGCUAUCCAAAUAAGCUGCAGAGCUUCCCCAUAGACAAGUAAAAUUGUUUGGCAUUAGACAAUUAGUAAAAAAAAUAAGUAGGGUGCAUUGCGGCUCAAUGGGUUAAGGACAUUGUCAGAUUUUUUGGUUAACCUAUUAAGCUGCAGAGCUUCCCCAUUGACAAGUAAAAUUGUCUGGCGUUAGACAAGUAAAAAGUAAAAGUAGGGCACAUUGCGGCUCAAUGGGUUAAGCGCUAGCUCUCUUUUAUUGAUGAGUAAAAUCAUCUGGCAUUGGACAGAGUAAAAUAGGGCGCAAUGCAACUUAAUGGUUAAACUCCAUUCACAAGGGCCUGGGUAAAUUGGAAGUCAUAUUCAAGUACGUGAAGGGAUUUUGUAGACCAGCGAUGUCACCUUACCAGGGGCAGUUGUGAAUUGCAGGGCUGCAUGUUCUGGACUGCUAAGUUUCAAGUUUGCUAACUGUGUGCUGACAUUUUCUUCUCUGAUAAAGGCGCAUAUCUAGGAUGGCAAAAUUGCAUGUGGAAGGUCUUCGGUGCACAUUUUCAUGAUGCUAAGACAAUAGUACUGUUAAUACUAGCAGAGGAUGAAGAUUUGAGAUAUUCAUGCAUUUGUUAUAAGCCAUAUCAAAAUGUUUUUUUAUUUGUCAUUAGUGAUCCUUUAGAUACAUCAAUGAUACUAUCCUUUAGAUACAUCAAGGUCACUAUUUACCAUUUAUUUGAAAUAGGUAAAACAACUUUGGCAGAUGCUCUUGUAGCAAGCAAUGGUAUCAUUUCAAAUAGAUUGGCAGGGAAGGUAUGUACUAUUUACAACAUGUGCAGCCAUUGUAUGGACAUUUCUCUAUUACAUGAAUACCUCUUUAAUAGGAACAUCUCUCUAAUAUGGACACCUCUCCAAUAAGAACACCUCUCUAAUAUGGGCACUUCUCUAAUAUGGGCACUUCUCUAAUAUGGGCACUUCUCUAAUAUGGACAUCUUUCUUAUACAGUAUGAAUGCACUGCACAAAUCUCCCUUUUUUAAUUAUAAUCCUUUCUAAAGUCAUUAAAGCACUUCAAAUUUGUUUUAGCUGAGGUAUUUGGACAGUUUACCAGAAGAACAACUUAGAGGAAUAACAAUGAAAUCUAG